GCCGAUAAACUUUCACAACCAUGCAGUUUUCUUCGCAGCAUUGGAUGCUGUGAUAUACUUCACUUCGUAAAUAGUCUACCAUAGUGUGCUGCUUGAAACUUUUCCAGCAGAUCGCUCUAUCAUUUAAGAUAAAAAUAUAAUCCGACAUACUCUUACUAUCAUCAUAGUCUGACUGAAAGCUAGAGUUAGUGAACCCCAUCAGUUUCAAGUCAGUUUCAUCAUAUAC
rnacentral:lncRNA from 1 species